UCGUUUUGUAGAUGACUAAUUUGCUAGGUCUUACCUCCAGUCUAGUAUCCAGCAUUCUGAAGUUGAAGAACCUCAUUCUGUUCAAGAGAAAGAACAAAAUACUGCAGACAAAGACGGACAGAUUGUGGAGCUACAAGCAAAUAAGGUCGCUGAAAAGAAAGUUGGGAACAUACAUCCAUUCUGCUCUUCUUGAAGGAGUGCAGAAAGAGAAAGGACCAGCUCCUAGAACCAAAACCCAGCGUAGAACAAUUAUUCAAGAAGUUGCAAAAGUUAUUGAAGAAGAAAGAGAAGGAAUUAGAAAUAUAAAUAUAGAAAUAGAAAUUAUAAAAAUCUUACAACAAUUUUGACUUCAUUCAAGAAAGUAUCUAAAAAUCCACCUAUCCAAGAUACCCUAUCCAACCAGCCAAUGUGUGUGAAAGUCUUUUUUUUCGAUUGAUGCUUUUUAAAAGAUUUUUCAAAAGAAGUCUUAGGUUUUAACUCGUUAAAUGUUUAUAAAACUGCAUUUUUCAAUACUUUGAACUAUUCUUAAAAUUAUUUCAAAAUUGCAAAAUGUUUAUAUGGCGCUUAAGUUUAACCAAAUUGCUAAUUUCUUAAUGAUGUUCCUAAAUGUUCCAUUUUUCAGUCCAGCUCACAAAAUUAUACCAAUAUGAUGCAUAAACCAUCUGAACAUUGUAUAUAUGUUUUUAAUUUAAAACCAACUCGAUAACUGAUUUAAGUUACAAUGAUUAAAUUAAUUGAAUCUAAUUAAAAUACAAUUUGAAAGACACUUUACUUGUAACUGGCGGUCACAUCAUUAGUCUUCUUUGCUUAUGAAUAAUGCCAAGCUUUUAUAGUGUAAUAUCAAUUCAAACAUGAAUGCACAUACUGUAUAAUAAUUAAUAUACAAUGUUUGUACCUAUAGGAUUGUGUAAGAUUGUUUAAUACAGAAUAAUCACAAAAACAAACAAUAAUUUAAUUCUAUAUUGGUAAUUAAAAGGUAUUAUAUUACAUAU